GUCAGCUGGUCUGUGCUCAUGUCUCAGGGACCAGACAGGACAACAGGGAAGAGAAAGAAAAGAUUCUCUGCCUGGCUUUUCAGUUUCAAAAGCAGCCCCUGGCCUGGACACAAUGUGACAGGAAAUAACUGGACUGACCCUGAAGCUCAACUAGCCUAGUGUGGGACGUGUCCAGUCAAGUUCUCUGCUCUGUACAGUUCAUCUGUUCCUGCAACAUUAGUUUGAACCCCUGCCCCAGGCAGCCCCAGGGUAGGGGAGCAGAAGCCCAUGGAGACCCCUGUCUAGAGAGGCUCGUUGUCCAGAACAGGGACCAGGACAGGAAGAGAUCAGGACACAGGUGUGCACAGGCAUGGGGGCCAGACUCGUGAGGACACAGAGAGAAGACGGCCAUCUCCAAACCAUGGAGAGAGGCCUCAGCAGAAACCAACCCUGCCUCCACCUUGAGCUCGGACUUCC